AGAGUUUGAUCAUGGCUCAGGAUGAACGCUGGCGGCGUGCCUAAUACAUGCAAGUCGAACGCUUUGUGCUUAAUUGAUAUGCACGAGCUUGCUCUGAUUUGAUUUUUUGAUUUCAAAGAGUGGCUGUAACGGACUGAGUAACACGUGGGUAACCUACCUCUUAGCAGGGGACUAACAUUUGGAAACAAGUGCUAAUACCGUAUAAUACAACAACCGCAUGGUUGUUGGUUGAAAGAUGGUUCUGCUACCACUAAGAGAUGGACCCGCGGUGCAUUAGCUAGUUGGUAAGGUAAUGGCUUACCAAGGCAAUGAUGCAUAGCCGAGUUGGGAGACUGAUCGGCCACAAUGGGACUGAGACACGGCCCAUACUCCUACGGGAGGCAGCAGUAGGGAAUCUUCCACAAUGGGCGCAAGCCUGAUGGAGCAACGCCGCGUGUGUGAUGAAGGGUUUCGGCUCGUAAAACACUGUUAUAAGAGAAGAACGGCACUGAGAGUAACUGUUCAGUGUGUGACGGUAUCUUACCAGAAAGGAACGGCUAAAUACGUGCCAGCAGCCGCGGUAAUACGUAUGUUCCAAGCGUUAUCCGGAUUUAUUGGGCGUAAAGCGAGCGCAGACGGUUAUUUAAGUCUGAAGUGAAAGCCCUCAGCUCAACUGAGGAAUUGCUUUGGAAACUGGAUGACUUGAGUGCAGUAGAGGAAAGUGGAACUCCAUGUGUAGCGGUGAAAUGUGUAGAUAUAUGGAAGAACACCAGUGGCGAAGGCGGCUUUCUGGACUGUAACUGACGUUGAGGCUCGAAAGUGUGGGUAGCAAACAGGAUUAGAUACCCUGGUAGUCCACACCGUAAACGAUGAGUGCUAGAUGUUCGAGGGUUUCCGC
rnacentral:rRNA from 1 species